CGUUGGUGACCAGCGGAGGGAUCAUUAC
rnacentral:rRNA from 1 species